rnacentral:rRNA from 1 species
UACAGAGGUCUCAAGCGUUGUUCGGAUUCAUUGGGCGUAAAGGGUGUGUAGGUGGCGCGCUAAGUCGGGUGUGAAAUUUCGGAGCUUAACUCCGAAACUGCAUUCGAUACUGGCGUGCUUGAGGACUGGAGAGGAGACUGGAAUUUACGGUGUAGCAGUGAAAUGCGUAGAUAUCGUAAGGAAGACCAGUGGCGAAGGCGGGUCUCUGGACAGUUCCUGACACUGAGACACGAAGGCCAGGGAGCAAACGGG